CGGCAGGCUUAACACAUGCAAGUCGAGGGGUAACAGGGAGUGCUUGCACUCCGCUGACGACCGGCGCACGGGUGCGUAACGCGUAUGCAACCUACCUUCUACAGGGGGAUAGCCCAGAGAAAUUUGGAAUAAUACCCCAUACGAUCAUUAAUUGGCAUCGAUUGAUGAAGAAAACUCCGGUGGUAGAAGAUGGGCAUGCGUCCUAUUAGUUAGUUGGUGAGGUAACGGCUCACCAAGACGUCGAUAGGUAGGGGUCCUGAGAGGGAGAUCCCCCACACUGGUACUGAGACACGGACCAGACUCCUACGGGAGGCAGCAGUGAGGAAUAUUGGACAAUGGAGGCAACUCUGAUCCAGCCAUGCCGCGUGCAGGAAGACGGCCCUAUGGGUUGUAAACUGCUUUUAUACAGGAAGAAUUGUACCUACGUGUAGGUAUUUGACGGUACUGUACGAAUAAGGAUCGG
rnacentral:rRNA from 1 species